UACGGAGGGUGCAAGCGUUAAUCGGAUUUAUUGGGCGUAAAGGGCGCGUAGGCGGAAAUGAAAGUCAGAUGUGAAAGCCCGGGGCUUAACCCCGGAACAGCAUUUGAAACUUCAUUCCUUGAGGGUAGGCGGAGAAAAUAGAAUUCCACAAGUAGCGGUGAAAUGCGUAGAUAUGUGGAGGAAUACCAGUGGCGAAGGCGAUUUUCUAGCUUAUACCUGACGCUGAGGCGCGAAAGCAAGGGGAGAAAACAGG
rnacentral:rRNA from 1 species